rnacentral:rRNA from 1 species
GCAUAAUAAUUUGUUCUUUAAUUGGGGACUGGAAUGAAAGGGUUUAUAAAAUUGUGACUGUCUUUUUUAUAUUAAUAGAAAUUUAAUUUUUUGUGAAAAUGCAUAAUUUAUAUUAAAAGACGGUGAGACCCUUUGAGCUUAUUUAUUUAAAAUUAAAUUUAGUUGGGGCGAUUUAAGAAUAUAUUAAUCUUCUUUUAUAGAAAGGAAAUAAUAAUUUUUGAUGAUCUUUAAAGAGUAAAAGGGAAGUUACCAAAGGGAUAACAGAUUUUUAUUUUGGAGAGUUCAUAUUUAUAAAUAAAAAAAUACCUCGAUGUUGGCUUAAAGUUUCUUUUAGGUGUAGAAGUUUAUUAUGUUGGUUUGUUCAACCAUUAAAAUUUU